UCCUGGGGAAGUAAAUAAUGACACUUUGGUUAGGAGUCCUGAAAGAACUCUAGUUCCAAUGUUAGGAUUUAAAAAUAUUAUCAUAAAAUAAUUCUGAAACUAUCAUGAAAUGAUUCCUAACUUUGGCUGAUACACUUGCAGAAUCCCAAAGCACAGCAAAGUAGCCUGAAUUAACUAAGCCAAGUGGUUUUGAAAAUGAAAUAGCCCUAGAUUUCCUGUUGGCAAGCAAAAAGACCCUGAGGGAGAUCUCAGCUGCAUAGGAAAGGAGGUCCUGCAAGCAGUAACCAUAAUGAAAGAGACUGCCAUGCUGGAAAAGCCAUUAAAGGACUUCUGACAGAAAAGCUGCAAGUGUCUAGCCUUUGCUGACUGAUGCAGCUCAGGGGACCCAUUGACACUGACCAGGAACUCUUCUUCAAAGUGCCCCAGAAUGGCUGAACUGAAAGAUAUCUGGAUCGCCUGUACUCCACUUGGUUCGAUGAUGCCUUCCUUGGGGCUGAAAAUAAAGCAGGCCCCCAAAGCCGAAGUUGGAGGGACCACGUUGAAGAGAGCAUCAAUGCUGCCUUUGUUGGAUAGUAUUGCCUGUAUCAAUAAAAAGCAGGGAAUGCAAAGAUA